UAGGGAAUCUUCCACAAUGGGCGAAAGCCUGAUGGAGCAACGCCGCGUGAGUGAGGAAGGCUUUCGGGUCGUAAAGCUCUGUUGCCAGGGAAGAAUAAGGAUCAUUUAACUGAUGAUCCGAUGACGGUACCUGAGAAGAAAGCCCCGGCUAACUACGUGCCAGCAGCCGCGGUAAUACGUAGGGGGCAAGCGUUGUCCGGAAUUAUUGGGCGUAAAGCGCGCGCAGGCGGCUCUUUAAGUCUGGUGUUUAAGUGCGGGGCUCAACCCCGUGACGCACUGGAAACUGGGAGCUUGAGUGCAGAAGAGGAGAGCGGAAUUCCACGUGUAGCGGUGAAAUGCGUAGAGAUGUGGAGGAACACCAGUGGCGAAGGCGGCUCUCUGGACUGUAACUGACGCUGAGGCGCGAAAGCGUGGGGAGCAAACAGGAUUAGAUACCCUGGUAGUCCACGCCGUAAACGAUGAGUGCUAGGUGUUGGGGGUAUCAUGCCCUCGGUGCCGAAGUUAACACAUUAAGCACUCCGCCUGGGGAGUACGGUCGCAAGACUGAAACUCAAAGGAAUUGACGGGGUCAU
rnacentral:rRNA from 1 species